CUUAACCGAAGAAGUGCAUCGGAAACUGGGAAACUUGAGUGCAGAAGAGGACAGUGGAACUCCAUGUGUAGCGGUGAAAUGCGUAGAUAUAUGGAAGAACACCAGUGGCGAAGGCGGCUGUCUGGUCUGUAACUGACGCUGAGGCUCGAAAGCAUGGGUAGCGAACAGGAUUAGAUACCCUGGUAGUCCAUGCCGUAAACGAUGAAUGCUAGGUGUUGGAGGGUUUCCGCCCUUCAGUGCCGCAGCUAACGCAUUAAGCAUUCCGCCUGGGGAGUACGACCGCAAGGUUGAAACUCAAAGGAAUUGACGGGGGCCCGCACAAGCGGUGGAGCAUGUGGUUUAAUUCGACGCAACGCGAAGAACCUUACCAGGUCUUGACAUCCUAUGCCAACCUGAGAGAUCAGGUGUUCCCUUCGGGGACAUAGUGACAGGUGGUGCAUGGUUGUCGUCAGCUCGUGUCGUGAGAUGUUGGGUUAAGUCCCGCAACGAGCGCAACCCUUAUGACUAGUUGCCAGCAUUCAGUUGGGCACUCUAGUAAGACUGCCGGUGACAAACCGGAGGAAGGUGGGGACGACGUCAAAUCAUCAUGCCCCUUAUGACCUGGGCUACACACGUGCUACAAUGGCCGGUACAACGAGUUGCGAACCCGCGAGGGUAAGCUAAUCUCUUAAAGCCGGUCUCAGUUCGGACUGCAGGCUGCAACUCGCCUGCACGAAGUCGGAAUCGCUAGUAAUCGCGGAUCAGCAUGCCGCGGUGAAUACGUUCCCGGGCCUUGUACACACCGCCCGUCACACCAUGAGAGUUUGUAACACCCGAAGCCGGUGGGGUAACCUUUCGAGGAGCUAGCCGUCUAAGGUGGGACAGAUGAUUAGGGUGAAGUCGUAACAAGGUAACCGUA
rnacentral:rRNA from 1 species